UAGCUUAUUUUUUCUCGUUUUUCACCAAAAUGGAUUUGGUGGCCUAACUGAGGAGGGGGG
rnacentral:sRNA from 1 species